rnacentral:misc_RNA from 1 species
CAAAUGAAUGCCUGCUGGUCGCUGGCAGCAGUAUGGCCGCCAUCGGAUCAGACUUUGAUUUGUGACAAGUGAAUUUGUGACUUUUUGAAUGCCGUGCAAGCGAAGGAGAUCGUUGACACAUUGGCAGUCGCCCCUCAGGCCCUGGGGGGGCCUACGGAUCAGGUAAGCAUGGAAUAUCGUCUACGUGAUUUUGGAAUAUCUCGACCCGGCCGUGGGGAUCGUGAGUAGAAAAAGAGAGGAAGGAAAAAAGGUAUUUCGG